AGGAAGACUUCCACGGCGGUAACGCUUUGGGGGUCUUUUUCUUUUGC
rnacentral:antisense_RNA from 1 species